UGCGUAUUUAUUGGGGUGAUUUUUGGUAGUGGUAGUAAACGAUUUAGCAUCUUUUGUGAACAGAACGUGUUGUUUCGUUAAUAUGUUUUCAGAAUUCUGAUAAUUUUGUGUUACAUUUUACGCUUAUGAAAUAUUUUACACGAUAUUCGAAAGUUGAUUUUAGGUAUCGUUAAUUAAAAUCGUAGUUUUGAUAUGAGCGAUUCUGUUUUGUGACAUUGUUAACAAAGCAAAGGUCUCCAGGGCUAUCUGCCUAAGGUGAAAAUGCCUUCGUGAAGCAAUUUCUAAGGGAAAUUGGGUGGAAUUGGAAAACAACAAAACUCCCUGCUGCCAGCCCAUUCUCUAGAACUGAAUUAUCAGCGUUAAGUAACUUCACUGCUCUGCCACUGGUGGUCUGUUAUAUUUAGGACUGAAAUGGAUUAGUUAGAAGGGAGUAAUAAGUAAUUUUCUUCAAUGUAUGGCUGAAAGAUAUAACUUCUGGUUUGAGCAGACAAUUUACAAUCAAAGUCUUCACAUUAUGUGUUAGAGAGCAAAUUACUUUAAAAAUGCAUCCUAUGCUGUAAAGGGACCUGUUUCCGCUCUGCACCGGUUCACUCCUGCUUAAAGGUGGUUAGUGCGGAGACCUGAUCGACUUAGGGAGACUUUGAGGACAGAACUUCCCAACCUCGUGCCGUCCAGCAGCCCAGACCUCCAAAGCAGCUGGAUUACAGCACCACGCCACCAUUGCUGGUUUCAUAUUAUUCAUAUUAUUCCCAAAUGAAGUUGGAUCUUCCAGAUCAUAUGCUUUCAUUCCAAACUUUGUAUUGAACUCAGCUUAACUCAGUUAUUGAUUUUGUGUCUUUAGGAUUUCUAGUAAGUUUACUU